UACGAAGGGGGCUAGCGUUGCUCGGAAUCACUGGGCGUAAAGCGCACGUAGGCGGAUUGUUAAGUCAGGGGUGAAAUCCUGGAGCUCAACUCCAGAACUGCCUUUGAUACUGAAGAUCUUGAGUCCGGGAGAGGUGAGUGGAACUGCGAGUGCAGAGGUGAAAUUCGUAGAUAUUCGCAAGAACACCAGUGGCGAAGGCGGCUCACUGGCCCGGUACUGACGCUGAGGCACGAAAGCGUGGGGAGCAAACAGG
rnacentral:rRNA from 1 species